ensembl:lncRNA
CUCACCGUGUAAAGCUGUGUACGUGGGUGGAGAAUUUUGUGUAUCCCGACCGCUACUGGGAGCCAGUGGAUGGAGGUGAGCAUGGGGGCGAUGUGAGACUGUCAACUUGCCCUGGAACCGAGAGUAUAUCGACCACUCUGGUGGAGAAACGAUCUGGCGAUGAGACCACUGGAAGCCCGGGUAUUUCAUCUGGCGUUGACGAGGCUCCAUGAUCCAGAGGACUUCACAGAUUAAAAAGUCCCUCCACAGUAAAUCCCAGCUGUGUCCUUGGAGCUGGACCACUUCAGCUCACUCUAACAGAGACACCUGCUACUGAACAUAGAACAUGUUUCUGUCGGUACGUUUUCUCAUUUAUAAAUGUCAACUUGCUGUUUAAAGUGUUAUGAUUGUGCAGAUAAAAUGUUAAUGCCCUGACAGUGGCAAACAGCUUUGGUUCAGUUCUGAUUUGAUUUGAUUAUAUUGAUGUUAAAAUUGAGAUUUACAAGAAAUGGGAAUGCUGUCGUUAAAAAACAUCAAUAUGUUGAAAUUGUCUGCAAAUUUUGUGCAUAGCAGUGCACAAAGAAAAAUGUACUAGAAACUACAAAAAAUGUAUUAAUUCAUCCGAGCAAUUUCUCGAAUGCAAGUCAUGUUAAUUAUCUUGUGAGAUACCUACAAUGUUGUGAAAAAUAAAUGGUAUGGAAACCAUUUUUUAAUGAUUUUUUGUUACCUUUUCGGUUUAUCAAUAGCAUGGACAGAGAAGACAGGCAACACAGUUGCCAUGGUUACCACGGUUCUUAAAUCCGAGUUGCCUUGGGUCUUACAUUUUUACACUGUUACAUUACAUCUUACAAGUUUCACGUUUUUAUUUUUCACUCAAGGAAAGUGAUUGGUGUGUUUUGUAAAAUGCAGUCUGCAGAACCUCCUGCCUUUACUGCUGAACACAGCGCUGUUUAUUUUAAAGUCUGUCCCUUUUGAACCGGUUCUGUGUCUAAAUUGUACCAACACCAACCAAAGCAAUGCCUUGGGUCUCCAGCAAUAGCCUUCUGGUGAGAAUCAGAUGAACCGUUCGCGACUUGUGAGCACACUGACAGAUUAAUACAUUACACUUUCUCAUUGUAAAGUUGACGUGCACCUCAAUUCCUUGUUGUGCCCCAGUUAACAUAGUUAGCUUCAAGGUGUAUUUUGCCCUGACUUAAGCCUUUUAGUUUCUCCUUGGGGAGGGAAAUGAAGCGUGAAUUCAGACAGGAAAACCAUCCCCUCACGCUAGGCUUGACAUCUCGCUCAUACCGCUGCCACACCAGCAGCACAUGUUCUACAGUAUACGGCUGUCACCACCCAUCAGUUGGGCGCUCCCAGCCAAUAUGGGCAAAGUCACACCAUCACCUGCUGCCGUCUCCUUUAAAUGUGCUGUACCCCCGCCACCAG